rnacentral:miRNA from 1 species
UUCGUUGUCAACGAAACCUGCGG